rnacentral:misc_RNA from 1 species
AAGUCGUAACAAGGUUUCCGUAGGUGAACCUGCGGAAGGAUCAUUACCGAGUUAGGGUGUCAAACUUAUGCGCCCGACCUCCAACCCUUUGUCUACUUGACCUUAUGUUGCUCCGGCAGGCCCGCUGGUGUCCCUUUGGGGCCCGGCCGCCGGGGGUCCUCGUGGCCCCGGGUCCGCGCCUGCCGAUGGCCCCUUCUUAAACUAUUGUUAAAACGUGUCGUCUGAGUUUAUGAUUAAACAAUCAAAACAAAACUUUCAACAACGGAUCUCUUGGUUCUG